ACGUAUAUAAAAUAAAAGAUAUGUAGGUAUACCUAUUAUAAAAUUAAAACAAUUAAAUAAAAUAGAAACUGUCUAUGAACAGUUAAUGAACUAUGAUUGCUUCGUCUACUAUCUAUUCAAAAUAGUAAAAUAGUAUUAUUGGUGAACUAUAAUGUCAAUAAUUAUGAUUUAUUUAAAUUCCUGCUAUUUUUUGUUUAAAACCUAGUAAAGACUUAAAUGACAAGAAACUAAAAAUUUUUUUAAAAUUUUAUCUGCAAUUAUUAAUUGAAUAUUGAUUAAAUUUAGAAAACAUACGUUUGCAUAUUUGUAAAUUAUGCGUACGUGCGCGUGCGCGUGCGCGCACGAGUGUGUACUCGUAUGUGUGUUUGCGUACGUGCGUGCGUGUACGUCAAUACGUAGAGGAGAGACACCCGUAUUAUGAGAGCCUUCAAUUGAUGAAUAGUAUUUAUCACAUAGAAUGGUCAGCGCUUAGUAAUAGCAAUAAGAAAGAUCUCUUAUUGUUAGUAAUGAUGACACGCGCGAUGACUCCCAUCGAAUUUACUAGCGCGUACAUAAUCACGAUGAAUAUCGAGUCGUUCGUAGCUGUCAGUAUCAGACAAUUAAGAUAAAUGUUAUUACUAAAUAUCCAAUCGCAAUUAUUUCAAAUAACUUUUAAUGUAUUUAUAAUUUUUUAAAACAGAAUAACUACAAUUAUAUGAUUAAGAGUCGCGAACAAGAAUUGAAAGUAGAUGAACUGGUGUUGUGGUAUGUGAACGAUCAAAAGCAAGGAACUUCAAAGAAAUUGAACCAUACUCAAAUGGUAUUUGUUCUGACUUUCGUAUACUUUGGCCUUUGGUAUCGCGUGCUCCAAUGGAGAUAACUAUACCAUCC